rnacentral:misc_RNA from 1 species
AACACCUCAACUCCCUCUUUUCUUUUCUGAAAUGAGGGAGCUGGACUUGAGUGAUCCCAACACUUUUCUUCACUGAAAAGUGGCGGGUCACUUGAAAUGCAGGUGCAGCUGGACUUUUCUCUGAGCUAUAAGCAUAUCUAUUUAGUCUGCCUAAAAAACAGAUUAUUACCUUUGCUGCAGCUAACAUAAAGGAGAUGAGUUCUUGUGCUGACUGAUGCAGGAUUCACAGAGACAGCUUCGCGGCUGACUUUGUAA